ACAGAGGGUGCAAGCGUUAAUCGGAGUUACUGGGCGUAAAGGGCGCGUAGGCGGAUACUUAAGUCGGAUGUGAAAUCCCUGGGCUCAACCUAGGAAUUGCAUUCGAUACUGGGUGUCUUGAGUAUGGCAGAGGAAAGUGGAAUUCCCGGUGUAGUGGUAAAAUACGUAGAUAUCGGGAGGAACACCAGUGGCGAAGGCGGCUUUCUGGUCCAAUACUGACGCUGAGGCGCGAAAGCGUGGGGAGCAAACAG
rnacentral:rRNA from 1 species